GGUAAAACUAAUUUAAUGGUAAAAUCCUUCAUUGUGGUUGAAGUUAUUACAGUUCGAUUCUGUGGUUUUAUC
rnacentral:tRNA from 1 species